rnacentral:tRNA from 1 species
GCCUAGUUAGCUUAGUUGGUAGUGCGUCUGCCUUGUAAGCGCUAUACCGUGGGUUCGAUUCCCGCCCGGGGCG